AGUCAAAGUCCUUUGAAAGGGCUCCUAGAGCUGAUCAAGGCCUCCACCUGAUGAAUGAAUGAGUCAGGCAGGCCCAGCUCCACUUCACGGAUGGGAAAACUGAGGUACGAGGCCUCGCUGAAAGAUGCGAGGCAGAGCGGAGAACCAGAAGCACCACUUCUCUCAGGCUGAUGCUCUAAUCUCGGCUCCCCCGCCCCGACGAUGGCGUAGACGGCCUCCGCCGGCCGACUCACACACACCCUCCCCCGGGAACGGCAAGUCUCCUCGGGUUCCAAGGACGGGGUCAAAAGACAAGAGGCCCGAGGCGCUCCCGCCGUGAUUUGCAGCCAGAGAGCGUUGGGAGCGUGCGUGCCUCCAGCCCAACAUGGCGGCGGCAGCGGCCGCCCCCGACCCCAAGCCCUCCCUCAGGGCCCGAGGCUUCUCCUCAGGGCCUUCCGGUGGGCGGGAAGACAGCGCAACCCCGCCAGGCCUUUCUCGUCGCUGCGCCUGCUCGCUGAAGGAGUCACCUACCCGACGAGACUAACGGCCGCGGCGCGGAAGCCCCACAGCCCGCCGAGAACCAGGAAUACGAGAGCCAGGCGGCGCGGCGGCGGGAGCUGUACUGAGCAAGAAAGAAGAUUUCAAAAUGGAGUCUCGUUCUGUCGCCAGGCUGGAGUACUGCAGCGCGAUCUCGGCUCACUGCAACCUCCGACUCCCUGGUUCAAGCAAUUCUCCUGCCUUAGCCUCCUGAGUAGCUGGGAUUACAGACACCUGCCACCACACCUGGCUAAUUUUUGUAUUUUUAAUAGAGACGGAGUUUCACCA